GCCCGGAUGGUCUAGUGGUAAGCAGCCCUCAAAUCAAACAUUCCACCACCUUCAUUGUCUAACCUAAUAAUAGGUAUGAUUCUCGCUUUGGGUGCGAGAGGCCCCGCGUUCGAAUCGCGGUUCGGGCC